AUACGUAGGGGGCGAGCGUUGUCCGGAAUGAUUGGGCGUAAAGGGCGCGUAGGCGGCGCGGUAAGUCUGGAGUGAAAGUCCUGCUUUCAAGGUGGGAAUUGCUUUGGAUACUGCCGCGCUUGAGUGCAGGAGAGGUUAUCGGAAUUCCCGGUGUAGCGGUGAAAUGCUUAGAGAUCGGGAGGAACACCAGUGGCGAAGGCGGGUAACUGGACUGCAACUGACGCUGAGGCGCGAAAGUGUGGGGAGCAAACAGGAUUAGAUACCCUGGUAGUCCACACUGUAAACGAUGAAUGCUAGGUGUAAGGGGUAUCGACCCCUUUUGUGCCGGAGUUAACACAAUAAGCAUUCCGCCUGGGGAGUACGGCCGCAAGGUUGAAACUCAAAGGAAUUGACGGGG
rnacentral:rRNA from 1 species